rnacentral:tRNA from 1 species
CGAAGUAUAGCAUAUGAAAUGCUUUUUACUUACACUAAAAAUAAAGUUAGAUAACUUGCUUCGC